AGAUACAUUUUUAGGUUCAUAUUUUCAUUCAGGUUCACAUUUACUGUAGAUUGGGAUUCAGGCUCAGAUUCGGGUUUAGAUUCACAUUUACAUUCAGGUUCACAUUUACUGUAGGUUGAGAUACAUUUUUAGGUUCACAUUUUCAUUCAGGUUCACAUUUACUGUAGGUUGAGAUUUAGGUUCAGAUUCAGGUUUAGAUUCACAUUUACUGUAGGUUGAGAUACAUUUUUAGGUUCACAUUUUCAUUCAGGUUCACAUUUACUGUAGAUUGGGAUUCAGGUUCAGAUUCAGAUUCGCAUUUACAUUCAGUUUUACAUGUACUGAGAUUCAGGUUUAGAUUCACAUCUACAUUCAAGUUUACAAUUAGAUUCAACUUUACGUUCAGAUUCACAAUUAGGUUGAGAUUCAGAUUCAUGUUCAGGUUCACAUUUAAUGUAUGUAGAUUUAGAUUCCGGUUCAGAUUUAGAUUUAGAUUUACAUUCAGGUUCAUUACUGUAAGUUGAGAUUCAGGUUUAGGUUCACACUUCUCAUACAGGUUCACAUUUACUGUAGGUUGAGACUCACACUUUCAUUCAGGUUCAC